rnacentral:misc_RNA from 1 species
GCAAACUUGGUCAUUUAGAGGAAGUAAAAGUCGUAACAAGGUUUCCGUAGGUGAACCUGCGGAAGGAUCAUUACCGAGUGUCGGGCCCCCAGGGGUCCACCCUCCCACCCGUGUUUAUCGUACCGUGUUGCUUCGGCGGGCCCGCCGGUUCCCGGCCGCCGGGGGGCAUGCCCCCGGGCCCGUGCCCGCCGAAGACCCCCCUGUGAACGCUGUCUGAAGAUUGCAGUCUGAGUCGAUUGAAAUCCAAUCAGUUAAAACUUUCAACAACGGAUCUCUUGGUUCCGGCAUCGAUGAAGAACGCAGC